GAGGGUAUGGCUCAGUGGUAGAGCGCAUGCUUAGUGUGCACAAGGUCAUGGGUUCGAGCCCCAGUACCUAUG
rnacentral:tRNA from 1 species